UGUCCAGAAUAGGAAACAAACCCACAGUGUUCCGCUUACUGGGCAGAUGCCAUGUCCACUAGGUUACCCUGGAC
rnacentral:tRNA from 1 species